CCUACGGGGGGCAGCAGUGAGGAAUAUUGGUCAAUGGGCGCGAGCCUGAACCAGCCAAGUAGCGUGAAGGAUGACUGUACUGCGGAUUGUAAACUUCUUUUAUAAAGGAAUAAAGUGAGGCACGUGUGCCUUUUUGUAUGUACUUUAUGAAUAAGGAUCGGCUAACUCCGUGCCAGCAGCCGCGGUAAUACGGAGGAUCCGAGCGUUAUCCGGAUUUAUUGGGUUUAAAGGGAGCGUAGGUGGGUUGUUAAGUCAGUUGUGAAAGUUUGGGGCUCAACCGUAGAGUUGCAAUUGAUACUGGCAGCCUUGAGUACAGUUGAGGUAGGCGGAAUGCGUGGUGUAGCGGUGAAAUGCUUAGAUAUCACGAAGAACUCCGAUUGCGAAGGCAGCCUACUGAACUGCCACUGACAUUGAUGCUCGAAAGUGUGGGUAUCAAACAGGAUUAGAUACCCGAGUAGUC
rnacentral:rRNA from 1 species